AAUGUGCCAUCAAACGACAGCCACCCCUCUCUUCCAUCUCCCCUGUUGCUUCCCGACGGCGGCGGCGCUUUAGAUCCGGUGGCAAGCGCCUCCCUUCCCCUUCCCAGCUACUCUUACUCAAGGCCACCUGACUCCUCCUGGCCGCCGUCACGGCGGUGAACCCCGGGGCCCUGCUCCUGUAGGCGCCUAGGAGGCACUGCGUGGCAUUCCCUGUGCCCGCCUCCGGCGCAUCUACGGCGAGAAUGAGCUCGUGCUGUCUGCGCCCAAGCUGCAAGGCUGAUGCUAAUCUGAAGCCAUCUUUGAUGCUAAUUUGGAGCCAUUUUCUUUGCCGCUAUGCACAGUCCAGAGCUGGAGCCAUGCCCUUUAGUUUGUAGUUCGUUAAUCUGUCAGUAUUGAGAUUACAUUGAUUCUGAAGCGUGUUAAGGAUGCAUUGUUAGUACUAUUUUGAAUAAUGGAUUUACAGAAUUUGUGACAUUCCACUCCUCAGUUUGUUUGUGUCAGUUUCUUUAACAAAUAGCAAUGCACUCCAUAUCUUUUUAAGGCUUAAAAAAUCCUCAGUUUGUACAAGUCAGGCUCAAGUCCUAGUGCAUGCUUGUACAAGAAUCGAUCAAGUGCUUCUGCUACUGUUCUAGGCGUUUUGGUACUCUAAUUUGGAAGUUUUGUUUCACUCAUAAGUAAUAUGGAGAAUCAAAUUAGAAGAUUCAGUCCGGUCAGAUAAUUUCAGCGUCUUGCAGUUUAGCACAAUUCACUAAAAAGAUUAAUACUCCCAGUUCCGUAUACAGCGUCUUCCGUAUACAGAGUCAAUAGCUUGAAAAGUUGGAAAGAAAGUAAAUUUAUUCUGCUAGGCAAAAAAUAAAAUAAAAUUGUCCAUUUAUCAGCAUAUCAAAAUCUGGAUUCAUGUAUAUAAGAUUCAUAGCUGAAAUUGCUCUAGUUUAACAGAGAAUAAUAAGAAGUGUCCUUGUAUAUAUCAAUCUGGAUUCAUGUAUAUAUGAUCUCGCGUGAUAAUUGAUUUCUUGCUGUUAGUCCUCAAUGUUGGAUUUCACUAAGACAAAUUGAUCUUCAUACACACCGUCAGAUGGUAUUGUUGAUGCAUAUUUAUUUGCUCAGCUCACAAUUAAAAAGUUUUAGGUCUGAAUGUAUGACACAUACAUGGGCUUGCGCUAACUGAAUCAUAUUUGUCACAUAUGACCUCUCCCAGGACAAGAAGCUGGAUGAACAAGUGCUGCAUCUGGAAGCAACUGUUGUGUGCCAUCAAGAUAGCAACGUUGAUAUAGUUCUUAAUGGCAAUCCUUGUUGAGUGAUGAUUAGCAUAGUCCUUCAGACUUAGCAUUGCCCGUCAUGUACCAAAGCUGAUGCAACUUUCGCUAGGAAUUCUUGUUGAUCCUGUCAUGUUAUUGAUAACCUGAUAGGAAUGUCUUCUCGUGUUUUGCCUGGGAGUUCCAGUUUGACAUGUACUCAAAAGAUGUGGCGGGGAUAGUCCAGUUUGACAUGCAGUCAAGCCUUUGUGCUUA